CCAAUAGCGUAUAUUAAAGUUGUUGCAGUUAAAAAGCUCGUAGUUGAAUUUCGGGAUCAGUUCGCUGGUCGUGCCUUCGGUAUGUACUGGUGUUACUGGUUCCUACCUUCUGACGAACCGUCAUGUCAUUAAUUUGGUGUGGCGGGGAAUCAGGACUGUUACUUUGAAAAAAUUAGAGUGUUUAAAGCAGGCUCGCGCUUGAAUACAUUAGCAUGGAAUAAUGAAAUAGGACGUUCGAUCCUAUUUUGUUGGUUUCUAGGAUUGACGUAAUGAUUAAUAGGGAUAGUUGGGGGCAUUAGUAUUCAAUUGUCAGAGGUGAAAUUCUUGGAUUUAUUGAAGACUAACUACUGCGAAAGCAUUUGCCAAGGAUGUUUUCAUUAAUCAAGAACGAAAGUUAGGGGAUCGAAGACGAUCAGAUACCGUCGUAGUCUUAACCAUAAACUAUGCCGACUAGGGAUCGGAUGAUGUUAAUUUUUUAAUGACUCAUUCGGCGCCUUACG
rnacentral:rRNA from 1 species